rnacentral:rRNA from 1 species
AUGGCCGCCCUCCAUGUUGUCAUCCUCCUGUCAUUGAUUUGUAUCUGCAGAUCUGAUGACCGCCUGACUCCUGCAAAGCCGCUCUCCGCCGGCGACAAGCUCGUCUCGAGCAACGGUGUCUUUGCUCUUGGCUUCUUCUCCCCCACAAACUCGACUGUGGGCUCAUACGUCGGCAUAUGGUACAACAACAUCCCCAAGCGUACUUAUGUGUGGGUUGCUAACCGCGACAAGCCGAUCACCAACGCUUCUUCCGGGAAGCUGGUUGUGACCAACAACUCUGAUCUUGUGUUGUCUGACUCCCAAGGCCGCACUCUUUGGACAACCAUGAACAACUUCACAACCGGAGCCACGGGAACUUCUGCUGUACUUCUCGACUCCGGAAACUUUGUCAUCCGGUUGCCCAACAGCACAGACAUAUGGCAAAGCUUCCAUUACCCAACCGACACCAUCCUCCCCGGCAUGCAAUUACCACUGAGCACAGAUGAUGAUCUCUACACUCGCCUCGUGGCUUGGAGGGGCCCUGAUGACCCAGCCACCAGCGACUACUCCAUGGGCGGUGACUCUAGUUCAGACCUCCAGGUUGUCAUCUGGAAUGGGACGAGGCCGUAUUGGCGCAGAGCUGCAUGGGAUGGUGCGUUGGUCACUGCCCUGUAUCAAAGCAGCACUGGCUUCAUCAUGACCCAAACAACUGUCGACAUAGGGGGUAAGUUCUACUUGACAUUCACCGUCUCCGACGGCUCGCCAAGCACGCGCCUGAUUCUGCACUACACGGGCAUGUUUCAGUUUUUAGCGUGGAACAGCACCUCAUCGUCAUGGAAUGUUUUCAUAGAGCGGCCUAAUCCUAGUUGUGACCGCUACGCCUAUUGUGGACCAUUUGGUUACUGUGAUGCCACUGAAACAGUUCCGAAAUGCAACUGCCUCAGUGGGUUUGAGCCUGAUGGUGUAAACUUCUCCCAAGGGUGUCGGAGAAAGGAGGAGCUGACAUGUGGUGGUGGAGAUAGUUUCUCAACCUUGAGUGGCAUGAAGACACCCGAUAAGUUUGUGUAUGUCAGGAACAGAAGCUUUGACCAAUGCGAAGCAGAGUGCAGAAACAACUGCGCUUGCACCGCAUAUGCUUUUUCUAACAUGAAAAAUGGCAGCACGUCUAGUGACCAGGCAAGGUGCUUGAUUUGGUUGGGGAAGCUUGUCGACACAGGAAAGUUUCGUGAUGGAAGUGGCGAGAACCUGUACCUUCGUCUAGCCAGUUCAACAGUUGACAGAGAGAGUAAUGUGUUGAAGAUUGCACUCCCAGUAAUUGCUAGUAUUCUGAUACUCGCAUGCAUCAGCCUUGCGUGGAUAUGCAAGUCAAGAGGAAAACUUCGAAUCAAGGAAACUAAGAACAAAUAUACAGGACAACUGUCAAAAAAUUCCAAAUCUAAUGAACUUGAGAAUGAAACUAUAGAACUUCCAUAUAUUUGUUUUGAAGAUGUUGUUACUGCAACAGACAAUUUCUCAGACUACAACAUGCUCGGGAAAGGUGGCUUUGGAAAAGUUUACAAGGGCCGGUUAGAAGGUGGCAAUGAAGUUGCUGUCAAAAGGCUUAGUAAGAGUUCUGGGCAAGGGGCUGACGAGUUCAGAAAUGGAGUGGUUCUGAUUGCCAAAUUGCAGCAUAGAAAUUUAGUUAGGCUUCUUGGUUACUGCACUCAUGAAGAUGAGAAGUUAUUGCUAUAUGAAUACUUACCUAACAAAAGCUUAGACACCUUCCUUUUUGAUGCCACAAGAGAUAGUGUGCUUGAUUGGCCGACCAGGUUCAAGGUAAUUAAAGGAAUAGCAAGAGGGCUUCUUUAUCUCCACCAAGAUUCAAGGUUAACAAUAAUCCAUAGAGAUCUCAAAGCAAGCAAUGUCUUGUUAGAUGCGGAAAUGAACCCUAAAAUAUCGGAUUUUGGUAUGGCAAGGAUCUUUGGUGGAAAUGAACAACAAGCGAACACUAUCUGUGUUGUUGGGACAUACGGUUACAUGUCACCUGAAUAUGCAAUGGAAGGUUCCUUUUCAGUCAAGUCUGACACGUACAGCUUUGGUGUUCUACUGUUGGAGAUUGUAAGCGGGUUAAAGAUCAGUUCAUCCAAUCUCAUAAUGGAUUUUCCAAGCCUUAUAGCUUAUGCAUGGAGCUUAUGGAAAGAUGGAAAUGCAAGAAAAUUGGUGGACUCGUCCAUUGUGGAGAACUGUCCACUUCAUGGAGUUCUGCGGUGUAUUCAGUUAGGUCUGUUGUGUGUUCAAGAUGAUCCAGAUGCUCGUCCACUCAUGUCAUCCACUGUGUUCAUGUUAGAAAAUGAAACAGCCCCACUUCCUACUCCGAAGGAGCCUGUAUAUUUUAGGAAACGGAAGUAUGAAAUUGAAGACCAAAGAGAUAACGUGGAAAUAUCUCUGAAUGGCAUGACUAUGACAAUGCAAGAGGGGCGUUAA